CUUCCUACAGAACUUCUGGAACUGAUCUUCUGCCGUUUAACUCUAGAGGAUAACAUUCAUGCCUCUGUUGUAUGCAAGAGAUGGCACACAGCUGCCAUUUCUGUCAGAGUGGUGAACCAAUCACCCUGGCUUAUGUAUUUUCCAAGAUGUGGGAAUUUUUAUGAGCUCUAUGACCCAGCACAGCGCAAGACCUAUUCCCUUGAGUUACCAGAGUUGUAUGGGUCAAGAGUUUGUUACACUAAAGAUGGUUGGUUGUUGCUUUUCAGACCCAGAACACACCGUGUUUUCUUCUUUAAUCCAUUUACUAAGCAAGUGAUCAAACUGCCAAGAUUUGAAUUG
rnacentral:misc_RNA from 1 species